UUUUUUUUUUUUUUUUUGCCAAAAUUAGCUGUUUGGUGAUGUCUGUGGAGUCUCCUUGCUUUGCAUGUGUGGUGUGCCAAGCCAGCAUAGAAGAGCGAGUGGAGCGGCCACUCCAUAGCAAACCACAGUUGUCAGGUCUCAUGCCAGGGCACGCGUGAAGUCUCUGCGUGUGGUGAUUCUGCAGGGACAGGGCCCAUGUGCCCACUGAGACCAGCCAGGGCACCAGUGGACAGUGGCCUCUGUCGGGAGUCCUCUUGCCCUGCUGCCUCACCUGGGCCAUUUUCUUCCCAAUUUAUUAAACUCUUUCCGGAUUGGAUCCUCUGGGACUAGCUUCCUCCUCGGGGACUGUUUCGGGUCGUACUCUCCAUGGGGAUCUCGAGAGGGAGAGAGGCAGUCUCUUCUCUUCUGACAGGUGAACUUGGCAGUCUGCCGGGGCACCCUGGAGCCAAGGAAGGUGAUCUCAUCAUUGUCGUUAAAUGCUCUGUCUCCCACUGUCCCCAUCCAUAACUGUGACUUCGUUUUUUGUUUUUGUUUUUAAAGGAGAGUCUGUAACUGCUCCAAUUCCGGAGAAAGCACAGAGGUGUAAGAUUCUGCGUCAGGCGUCAGUCUCUGCUGACCUGGAGCUGUGCUGUGUGCCAGGGACUUCUUCGCCCCUUCCCAGAGACAGCAGAGAAUAGUGAGGCCCCGGGGGCACUGCAGGGGACUCCCUCGGGGUGAUGUGCCUUUUCUUCCGGUCUUACAAGUGCAGGAAAGUGAGGUCAGAUGUCAGUGCUGCCCUGCGCCUGUCAGCUUUUGAUUGAUGGGUGUCUUUGGGGAAAGUGUGGUCUCACACUACAGCCCAGGCUCUAGAACUCAUAGCAGUCCCCCUGCCUCACCUUCUUGAGAGUUGGAUUACAGAUACCUCUGUGCCAGGUUCCUUUCUCAGCUCUACAGACAGUGUGAACAGUUGAGGUCCUCAAAUCUGCAUUCUGAACAACAGACCCUAGCAGUGGAACCCAAGGGGGUGGCGUGGCUUCUGCGUGAACAAGGCUUUAGGUGAGGGCUUUGGAGCAGGAAGUCAGGAUAAUAUUACCAGGUUAGCCCAGCCAGGUCGGGCACUAAAUGAGAGGGACUGCAGGUAGCUGCCUUCAGGCCAGUGUGGUUAUGUCUCAGCGUGUUUCUGAGGGGUACCUGCAGCUAAAUCUGCUGAGUCCCCUGUUCUUGCUGUUCAAAGGAUGGCUAAUCACAUUCGUGGAGUUUGAGGGGCGCCUACUGCUGAUUCUGGCCGCUGUUGGCACCUGUUUCCUGGAGCAUCUGAUGAGCCAAACUGUGUACAAUUUAUGAGGCAGGGGUGAGGCUGUGGGCUGGACUUUUAAGUAGGUGAAUGUUCUGGACCCUGAUAACAUGGGACCCCAGCCCACAGUCUGGUUCAGUGAGUACUUCACUGAAAGACUGAAACUGGCCUUCACUGGACCAAGCACCGCCGGCAAGUACUGACAGGAACAGAUUGUGGGGAGCACACAGGGCUGACUGGGAGCUGGGGUUUCCUGGAACCAAAGAAUGUGACUGGUGUGCUAGUGACCUUGGCCUUGCACGCUGUGGGGUUGGGGCUCAGCUCCAUCUGCUGAGGUUUCCUCUCUUGGGAGUUGGUAUUCCAAAAACACGUUGGAAUUCAUUUCUCCCUUUUGGCCUGGGUUUCCUCACUUGAAAAUUUGGUCAGAAAAGGUCUCUUUUGGUGUCUGGGGCUGUGAUUUUAAUCAGUGGUCUUGCCGGCCAGGCAGAUUUGGUGAGCCUUCCUCUCUUAGGACAGAUGUGCCUGUGCAUCCCACAGAGGUGAGAAAAGCAAAAGAUUAGGCUCCGCUUCUCUCAGAGCCAAUCCCUGCAGGCCUCGGGUGUGAGGGAGGAGAGUCGCUGGCUGAGGUUAGCGCUCUCUGUUGGGCACACAGUGGUGGAGCCAACUGAGGAACUGAGUCAGUGGGAUGCACACUCGAGUAAGGGCUGACCCCAGGCCUCGCAGCAGUGGUCAGUCCCAAAUUUAAGAGAAAAUUGUGGAAUCGGGUGUGGCAUACACCUGUAAUCCCAGCAGUCAGGACAGUGAGGCAGGAGGAUUGCUGUAAGUUUGAGGCCAGCCUAGAGUGUAUAGUCCUGGGCAAACCUGGCCUACAGAGUGAGACCCUGUCUCAAAAAACCAAAGGAUGAUGACUUUAAAAAAAAAAAAAAGACAAUGGGGAAUGGGCGUUUGAAAACCCCCCAAAAUUUAAGAUUAGUGUAAAUUGGGACCAAAGCUUUUGUAUUUUCUAGAACAAUGAAAGCAAGAGUUGGAGUCCCUUGUUCUGCUUAUACUAACUGCGAGAGCUAGGGGCAGGUCUCAGGGGUCUGAGGUUGGACUGUACAAGAAGAACCCUACCUCACAGGGCUGUUGUGAGGUGUGUGAGGGGAUGCCCUGUGAGGACCCAGCGCUGGGUCUGGUCAGCAAUGGACUCCAAUAAACACUAAAACUG
ensembl:lncRNA